rnacentral:rRNA from 1 species
GUAAGGAAUAUUGGACAAUGGGCGCAAGCCUGAUCCAGCCAUGCCGCGUGAAGGAUGACGGCCCUCUGGGUUGUAAACUUCUUUUAUAUGGGAAUAAACCCCCGGUUUCUACCGGGGCUGAAUGUACCGUAAGAAUAAGGAUCGGCUAACUUCGUGCCAGCAGCCGCGGUAAUACGAAGGAUCCAAGCGUUAUCCGGAUUUAUUGGGUUUAAAGGGUGCGUAGGCGGACUAUUAAGUCAGUGGUGAAAGCCUGCAGCUUAACUGCAGAACUGCCAUUGAUACUGAUGGUCUUGAGUACAUUUGAGGUGGGCGGAAUGUGUCAUGUAGUGGUGAAAUACUUAGAUAUGACACAGAACUCCGAUUGCGAAGGCAGCUCACUAAACUGUAACUGACGCUGAGGCACGAAAGCGUGGGGAUCAAACAGGAUUAGAAACCCGAGUAGUCC